AGGAUUAUAGUUUACAAAUAAAACAUUUGAUUUGCAUUCAAAAAAUAUUAAUAAAAUUUAAUUUAUCUUA
rnacentral:tRNA from 1 species